rnacentral:rRNA from 1 species
AGCGCAGGCGGGAAGACAAGUUGGAAGUGAAAUCCAUGGGCUCAACCCAUGAACUGCUUUCAAAACUGUUUUUCUUGAGUAGUGCAGAGGUAGGCGGAGUUCCCGGUGUAGCGGUGGAAUGCGUAGAUAUCGGGAGGAACACCAGUGGCGAAGGCGGCCUACUGGGCACCAACUGACGCUGAGGCUCGAAAGUGUGGGUAGCAAACA